rnacentral:rRNA from 1 species
ACACUCCUACGGGAGGCAGCAGUGGGGAAUAUUGCACAAUGGGCGCAAGCCUGAUGCAGCCAUGCCGCGUGUGUGAAGAAGGCCUUCGGGUUGUAAAGCACUUUCAGCGGGGAGGAAGGCAAUGCGGUUAAUAACCGUGUUGAUUGACGUUACCCGCAGAAGAAGCACCGGCUAACUCCGUGCCAGCAGCCGCGGUAAUACGGAGGGUGCAAGCGUUAAUCGGAAUUACUGGGCGUAAAGCGCACGCAGGCGGUCUGUCAAGUCGGAUGUGAAAUCCCCGGGCUCAACCUGGGAACUGCAUUCGAAACUGGCAGGCUUGAGUCUUGUAGAGGGGGGUAGAAUUCCAGGUGUAGCGGUGAAAUGCGUAGAGAUCUGGAGGAAUACCGGUGGCGAAGGCGGCCCCCUGGACAAAGACUGACGCUCAGGUGCGAAAGCGUGGGGAGCAAACAGGAUUAGAUACCCCAGUAGUCCCA